rnacentral:rRNA from 1 species
UACGGGGGGGGCAAGCGUUGUCCGGAAUCAUUGGGCGUAAAGAGCGUGUAGGCGGCCCGGUAAGUCCGCUGUGAAAGUCGGGGGCUCAACCCUCGAAUGCCGGUGGAUACUGUCGGGCUAGAGUGCGGAAGAGGCGAGUGGAAUUCCUAGUGUAGAGGUGAAAUUCGUAGAUAUUAGGAAGAACACCAGUGGCGAAGGCGGCUCACUGGCUCGGUACUGACGCUGAGGCGCGAAAGCGUGGGGAGCAAACAGG